rnacentral:rRNA from 1 species
AGAGUUUGAUCCUGGCUCAGGACGAACGCUGGCGGCGUGCCUAACACAUGCAAGUCGAGCGGAGACAGUGAGUAGCUUGCUAUGAGCUGUUUUAGCGGCGGACGGGUGAGUAACGCGUGAGCAACCUUUCCCAGACAGGGGAAUAACACACCGAAAGGUGUACUAAUACCGCAUAAGACCACGGGAUCACAUGGUUCUGAGGUAAAAGAUUUAUCGGUUUGGGGUGGGCUCGCGUCCGAUUAGGUAGUUGGUGAGGUAACGGCCCACCAAGCCGACGAUCGGUAGCCGACCUGAGAGGGUGAUCGGCCACAUUGGGACUGAGACACGGCCCAAACUCCUACGGGAGGCAGCAGUGGGGAAUAUUGCACAAUGGGGGAAACCCUGAUGCAGCGACGCCGCGUGAGCGAAGAAGUAUUUCGGUAUGUAAAGCUCUAUCAGCAGGGAAGAAAAUGACGGUACCUGACUAAGAAGCCCCGGCUAACUACGUGCCAGCAGCCGCGGUAAUACGUAGGGGGCAAGCGUUGUCCGGAAUAAUUGGGCGUAAAGGGCGCGUAGGCGGCUCGGUAAGUCUGGAGUGAAAGUCCUGCUUUUAAGGUGGGAAUUGCUUUGGAUACUGUCGGGCUUGAGUGCAGGAGAGGUUAGUGGAAUUCCCAGUGUAGCGGUGAAAUGCGUAGAGAUUGGGAGGAACACCAGUGGCGAAGGCGACUAACUGGACUGUAACUGACGCUGAGGCGCGAAAGUGUGGGGAGCAAACAGGAUUAGAUACCCUGGUAGUCCACACUGUAAACGAUGAAUGCUAGGUGUAGGGGGUAUCGACCCCUUCUGUGCCGCAGUCAACACAAUAAGCAUUCCGCCUGGGGAGUACGGCCGCAAGGUUGAAACUCAAAGGAAUUGACGGGGGCCCGCACAAGCAGCGGAGCAUGUGGUUUAAUUCGACGCAACGCGAAGAACCUUACCAGGUCUUGACAUCCACUUAAACUUACAGAGAUGUAAGGUGUGCUUGCACAAAGUGAGACAGGUGGUGCAUGGUUGUCGUCAGCUCGUGUCGUGAGAUGUUGGGUUAA